CGCGUGGUUGUGGAAUGGGCUUAGAACGGUGGCGGCAGUGAGAUAGAUCCAGAACCAGAGACGCUAUAGCCUACCGUAAUAACCCGACUCUCCCUCUGAACUUUUUCAUACUCCUUUUCAAUUUCUGAAUCCCUAAAAUUUCACCACCCUCCCCAAAUCGCGUUUUUUCUGAAACCCUAGCUUCUCACAACAUGAACCCCUUCGACAAUCGAUACUCCGAUUCCUCUUCAUAUCGCGAUCGUCGCAGUGAUGUAAUUGGACCUAUGCGGCCACCCGUUGCCAGCCGCGUCGGUCCGGUUCCCUACGGUGCUCCAUAUGCGGCCCCUGUACCCAGCGGUUUCGGACCCGCCGCACACGCUAACCCGAAUCCGCCGUUUGUUCCUCCUUCUGGGGGAUUCUCUGUUGGCCGAGGCGGUGGAUUUGGUGGUAGAGGGGGUGAUAGGAAAUAUGACACGGGUCGUUAUAGCGGUGGUGGUGGUGGAAGAGGUCGUGGCGGUGGUAGUUUUAGGGGUGGAGGCAGAGGUGGGAGAGGCGGUGGGUUUGGAGGUAGACAUGGUGGUGGGUCUUCUAAGGAUGACUUGAACAAUAUUUCGCUACCGAAACAAGAUUUUAGGAAUCUGGUCCCUUUUGAGAAGAAUUUUUACAUUGAGAGCCCUGCGGUAAGGGCUAUGUCUGAACAAGAAGUUAUGCAAUACCGUGCAAGCAGGGAUAUUACUGUCCAAGGGCAGGAUGUGCCGAGACCUAUUCGGUCGUUUCAUGAAGCUAGUUUCCCUGGUUACUGCCUUGAGGUCUUUGCCAGAUUGGGUUUUGUUGAGCCCACUCCAAUCCAGGCUCAGGGUUGGCCCAUGGCUCUGACGGGUAGGGAUUUGAUUGGCAUUGCUGAGACUGGCUCGGGUAAAACCUUGGCGUAUCUGCUUCCUGCAUUAGUGCAUGUGAAUGCUCAACCUCGAUUGGUUCAAGGGGAUGGUCCCAUUGUCUUAGUUUUGGCACCAACUAGAGAGUUAGCUGUUCAAAUUCAACAAGAAGCUAUGAAAUUUGGGUCACGAGCAAAUAUUAGAAUUACUUGCAUCUAUGGCGGUGCACCAAAGGGCCCUCAAAUUCGUGACCUUCAAAGAGGCGUUGAGAUUGUAAUUGCUACCCCUGGUCGUCUAAUCGAUAUGUUGGAAGCUCAGCACACAAACCUGCAGAGAGUGACUUACCUUGUCUUGGAUGAAGCUGAUCGAAUGUUGGACAUGGGUUUUGAACCUCAGAUACGGAAAAUUGUUAGCCAGAUUCGACCAGAUAGGCAGACACUAUACUGGAGCGCUACAUGGCCAAGGGAGGUUGAAACUCUUGCAAGACAGUUUCUGCGCAACGCAUAUAAGGUAAUUAUUGGUUCACCAGAUCUGAAAGCAAAUCAUUGUAUAAAUCAAGUUGUUGAAGUUGUAACCGACAUUGAGAAAUACAAUAGAUUGAUCAAACUGCUGAAAGAAGUGAUGGAUGGUGGCCGAAUUCUAAUAUUUAUGGAGACCAAAAAGGGAUGUGACCAAGUUACAAGACAAUUGAGAAUGGAAGGAUGGCCAGCACUAUCCAUCCAUGGUGAUAAAAACCAGGCUGAAAGGGACUGGGUUUUGGCUGAAUUUAAAAGUGGCAGAAGUCCAAUUAUGACUGCCACUGAUGUUGCUGCACGGGGUCUUGGUAGGAUCACUGUGUUUUAGAAUCAUAGGGUUUUUCGUAUAGGUGUAAAAUUUAAACAAUAUGUGAGUUGGCCGGCUGCUGUCCAGUUCCCCUUGACAUAAUUUGUGGUUUGGGUGUAUACGGGUGCCAUAUUGUCAGUUUGAUGGAACUGCCUGUAACUUGACCAGGGGAUUAUUGAGUUGCAUUCGGAGAUGAAAUUCUUCUGCUGCAGUCAGUAGAUUACCUGCUGCUGUUAAUUUGAGACCAUCUUCUAAGAAAUGUCAAGUUACAUGGAUACCCGUGGCAGAGUUCCUUUUGAGAUAUGCUUGGAUGCUGGUAUAUAAUUUGAGAUAGUGUACCAUGUGUGGUUCUGUAAAUUUCAUAGGAUGGGCUAAUGCAUGGUGAUUUUGCUUGAUUGACUAAAUGAAGUUACUUCAUCAUUAAUGUGCUAAGUGAUACUAGUCAUACAACUGUCGUCAAAUUGAUUGAUCCCCAUCCACAGUUAUGGAGCUGGUUCUCUUUGCAGCCCGGUUGACUCAUACGAGCUUAGUUGAUAAUUGGAUGUGGUAGAUGCCAGUGAUGGUGAAGCUGCUCCUUAUCCCUGAAAGGUUAAGAUGUGAAAGACAUAAAAUUUGUGAUCAAUUAUGAUUUUCCAUCAAGCCUGGAAGAUUAUGUCCACAGAAUUGGUCGAACUGGUCGUGCAGGGGCUAAAGGAACCGCACUCACCUUUUUCACCCAUGCCAAUGCCAAGUA